UCUGCUCCCACAAUUUCCCCAGGUCGAGCGAACUCACCCGAGCACCGGUGACCAUGGAGGAGGUCCUAAGCACCGGCGAUCCUAGCGCCGCCGCGAUCCGUCUCCUCUAGCACCGGUGACCUGGAACCGGCGUCGUCCAUCUUCUCCCCCGCGACUCCUCUUCCCACCCACGACCCAGACCACCGCCUCGCGAGGACGCCGCGCGGCCGCGACCUCGUCGCCAAACCCUAGCUUCUCCCUUGCAUCCGAUGCGCAGAUCGCGGCCAGGCCGCCUCCGGCUGCCUCCCGCCGAUACCGGCGCCCCGGCGCGACGCCGCCAUGGACCCCUUCGCUGGAUCCAUGCCUCAGCGCCACCCUACAUCACUCAAGCGCGCGUGCCCGCGAAAUCCUAGCCGUGGGGCUUGGGCUCGCAACACGGUGCCCACGCCCGCGCCUCCACUACUCCCCUUCCUCGACCACGAGCUUCCCUGCCUCCCUAGUCCCCUGCUACCCGACGUCGACGACUACAACCUGUUCCUGUCGCCUGGGUGGCCGGGACCUCUCCCCAUCGUGGUACGGUGAUAGGCUACGGAUACCCUCCCGUCUUCUUCAGCGACCUCGAUGGCUUCAUCCACGAUUACAACUACCACUGGUACUCCUUCUAAUGCACGAUUUAUCCCAGUUCGAGCUAUUUUCUCACCUAUACUAAGUAAAUAUAUAUUUUGUGGCAAAGGUGUCUCACAUGGCUUUUCUUGGAGGCACUUGGACAUGAAUUUCCCUCUAAUCAACUGCACUUCUUACCUGUUAUUGAUUCUUUGACUGAUUUUAUAUUAAAAUGGAACCUUAAAUUCCACCCUUUUAUCAUAUGUAACAAUCCUCUCUUUUCUUUCAUUUGUGAGAAUCUGCAUACUGUAAAAGGAUAAAGAAGGCCAAUCAGUUUGCGGUUUAUGUGUAGUUAUGUGCUGCAUGAUUGAGCACAUGACUACAUCUAGAUGUAAACAUACUUAUAUACACAUACCGUACUGUAUUUUAAGAUACUAGAUAUCAGCAAGCGAUGUCCAAAACUCUUGACAUUUCUUUAAAUCCUUCAAUGUUGAUUACUAGAUGAAUUUUAUGUAGACUUAACCUUGAUCAUACUAACAACUUCAUAUUUCAUUAGCACUUCUGGAUAGCCAUUUCCAUGGUAUUUCUACUAGCGGCUACUUCACUCAUGCUUCUUAAAUAUGCGGUAAGCUAUACAAAUACUAUUGAGCAUGUUGUAGUUGUGCUGUUGGAAAUUAUAUAUUUUCCCCUUGUUUACUAUAUUACAUCGAAAUAUCUAGCUUAUGUAUUUUGUUGCUAGAUUAGCACCUAAAUCUGUGAGGAUAACUUGUUUACAUGUAGUAGCAUUCAUAGUCAACCUUGGCUAAGAAUUUGAAGCAGUUGUCCAUGUACCAGAAUACCAUAGUAACUUUUUUGGUUUUGAAUUGACCAAGUUAUAUUAUACGCCACAGGUGAUGCAGUUACUCUGGGGUGGUGGGAUUUAUUCAUUAACUUUGGAAUAUCCCAGUGCUUUGCUUUUCUUGUCUGCGCAAGGUGGUCCAAUCCCAUGGUCGGUAUAGAGCCAGUGCUUGGAUAUUGGUGGCCCUGUACUGAUAAUUCCUAUCCUGAUUUUUCAAGUUCUUCUAUGUAUGCGCUUAGAGGGUACUCCUUCUAAUGCACGAUUUAUCCCAGUUCGAGCUAUUUUCUCACCUAUACUUCUGCUACAAGUGGUCACUGCAAUUAUUUCUGUUUGGAGAUUCUUUGAAAGGCUUGUUGUUAAAUUACAAGAUGGCAUUACAAGUGAAAGAUAUAUUUCUAUCUCGUCAAAGAUUGAUGAGUUGUUUAUGCUGGUACAACAUGGUUCAAGGCUCAUUGCGUGGUCCAUUGAUGAACAUAGCAAAGAGGAAGAAGCCCAUUUAUGCUAUACAAAUAACAUUGGGUAUUCACUGCAUAAUUCUAUCUUGUAUUCUUGUGUAAACAUCACUGCGAGUUAAUAUAAAUAUGUGGAUCUAUUGGUCACCAGUAAUUGUAUGUAAGUCUAUGAGAAGUUAAACAUAAUUAAGUAAAUAAUGCCUAUGUUGAGGUCACUGCCAUCUUAAUACAGGACUGCAUAACAUUUUCUUAUUGCGGUAGUGCGCUGCAGAAAUGCAUCACGGUGCAAAGAUAAGGGUCUGCUUGUAGAGUGUCGAGAGAAACAAACAAGAUAAUCAGUGUCUAAAAGAACUUGCCAUGUUGAACCCACAACUGAAUAUGAAGAAUCCUAUCUAGUGUUUGAUGAGCCAUUUCUGUUUUUGAUUAAUUAAUCUGGUAGAUUUAAGUACUGAACACACCAGGAACUUGGAGGAGUCCAGUAACCAGAGUCCUAGGACAUAUACACUACUAAUGGAUCAGUUAAUCGAGGUAGUAUUAAUUAGUGAGAGAAGCAAUUUUGUUGUCAUGACAGGCUAGACUAGGAUUCUUAAUAUUACCUGUUUUUUAGGCUUGAGGUUUCUUCAAAAAAUCAUCCCAGAAAGGAUUUUUUUCAAAAAAAUACUUUGAAAUUCUAAUAGUGUUAAGAUACAUGUAAAUAUGUAUACAUACCUUGAAAGCUUCUUUAGGCGUUAAGGUUCCUACAGCAUACAUGAUGUUGCAAUAUAUAACUUCAGUGCAUGUAGUACUACCUUCUUAUUUUUUUAACUGUCCAUACAUGGAACCUCAGAGUUGGCCGUGGUGAACUUAAGGGACGAUGAACUGGGCCAUGUUUUGGAACUUCUGCCACAUCAUCAGCGCGGGCUCUCCUUCUCAACCACCUCAUGAAGAUUUUCUGCAUACUAAGAUUAAUGAUUACGUUUUGAUAUAUUUAUGUUCCUUAUUGGACUUCGUAGUAGAGUAAUAUUUCUUUUUUCUAAAUAUUUGGCAAUGGACCCUUUUUUUAUUAAAACUACUAAUAAGUAAUAAUAUAUCGGAUGCAAGGUUUAAAUAGCUAGCUAUUGCUUUUCUAGACCUUGAAAGUCACGCUAUGACACCACCCUGUACCACUAUUGGAUAUGACCCCUAUAGCACCAAAUAGUUGUGUCAUUUGCAUUGGCGCGAAAGCAGCUCUAGCUAGCGCUAUUUCUGUAAGCAGACAUGGUCAAAAACAACAGACAGUUUCUAAUUGUAACUAUAAACUUAGGCUAUAAUAUAUGAGUAUAUGACCAUGUCAAUUGAAAAACAGAAAGCCUAAAAGGAUAGCAUUCAAACUUGUGACAUUGGUUUAUUGAUACCAUGGAUAUUACUAAAACCUCAUAUGAUUUAGGAUGCAUAGCUGAAGGGACUGUACAUACAUGGGCUCAGGCUUUUAGAUUUUGUGUGGAGUGAAAAUCUCGGAUUUCUUUAAUAUGGUAGUAGUUGGUUAUAUUGAGAUCUCAAGAAAUAAUCUUUCAGCCCUACACACGAGAGGCUAAAAUGUCGCUUUACCUUGCUGGUGUGCUCCUUCCAUUGCAGUACAAAUAGUACAAUUAGGUUACCAAUUUUAGAGUAUUCAUCUGCACUGAAACUUAUGCUUUUAUAUUUCAUUGAUUAACUGAGCUUAUUUGAGAACAUUGGCUUAUUUAGUAGCAGUUUCAUCUUGCCUUACCUGAACUUUUAAUUUUGAAGUUAAUUAUAAAUGGGAUCCUUUGUGAUUCAGUGGCAUGAUGCCAUAAAUAUUUUUACUUGUUUCUGUUACAGAUUUGUGAGUAUUUUGAUUAAUAGAAGAAUUCUGAACUCUAAUACUACUGUCAGAUAUCUCUCCCUUAAGUGACACAUGAAUAUCAGAUACCCUACUUUGGAAUCCAUGUAGCUCUGAGAAGGUCAGCAUAGCUCUUUAUCUGAGUUCAUGGAACCAAAUAUUAUUGUAUUACUUUCACAGUUUUGCAUCGAUUGAGCAAAUCAAUUACUUCAAUGGCCAAUGACACAUUUUUUGGCAUGUUGGUUCUAUCUGUUCUGUUACAUUCAUUUCAUUAUUAUUUCGCGGUUCAUGUUCCUGAACAUUUUUUUAUUAUAUGUUCGUGGAAAUACAGCUGCAUGGCAGCAAAAUUCAGGUGCUAUGGUAUGUCAUGAAGUUGCUGCCCCUCUAAGAAGUAUUAUGUUAUUUUCAGUAGGUGCAUACAUGUACUGAUUGCUAUGUGUUGUUUAAACGUUUUUCAUGUAGCCUUAUGGCUAAUUUUCCUUGAUUGAGUUCUUAUGUUGUUUGUCGGAAAGUAUUAAUGCUUCUCAUGUCGGAAAGUUAUUAAUACUACUGUCAGAUAUCUCUCACUUGUGUGCACAUAAAAAUGCAGAAAAUAUGCAUAGGGAAGAAGGUCAAGUAAAUAGCAUACUGGAGCUUAACUGGAGUUUUGAUAAAUAGCACAAUAAGCUAGGUGGAAUUGUCUGCGGAUCUAUCCAAAAUUCCUGGACUCAACCGCUACUUGCCGCAAAUGGGAAUUUGUCGGUACGUGAGGGCGUCGUGCUGGAAGCGUUUGGUGUUGCGGCCAUGUGUAUUGCGGUGGCAAUGUCAAGGCAUCUCACCGCAUCCAGACAACAACCUUGAGCCAUACGUUGUAUUGGGAGUUGGAAGGAAUUGCAUAUGAUACUACAUACAUGUGCGGUCUACCUGACGUGGAUUUCGCUGUUGUCAUGAUCCGCUAGAUAUCGCCACCACUAGCUGGACAUCUGGACAUGAGCAGAUUUGUUGUCUUCAAAUACGGCUAAAUUGGAAGGUCUUCAACGUCCGGUGGAAGAUCGAGAAGUUGUAAAGCGAUGGAGGUACAUUGAGAAGUACCCUCACCAUCGAGGGUGUCCUGGUUGCCUCUUAGCUCUCUAGGUCUGUUCUCGAUUGAUUUCACCGGAGUUUACAUACUGUGAUCAUUAGUGAAAAUUGUAAGUUUGUUUUUUUAACAGGAAGAAUGUAGGUGACAAAUUGUUUUACAUACUGUGAUCAUUAGUGGAAAUUGUAAGUUUGUUUUUUUAACAGGAAGAAUGUAGGUGACAAAUUGUUUCUUGCACAUUAAAUUGCUACAUACUGGAAUGAAUUCCAGAUUCU